AACAACCUGGGAAGCCCUGCUGGCUGCCCGAACCAGGCCCCAGCCCCCUUGGCAGCUCCCAGACCCACAGGUUUGAAUUUUUCUUACAUCAACAUUUACUUGGCGUAAUCGACAGGAUUCCGAAGCCCACCCAGGACCACCCUGCAGAGCCGGAUCCAGUGGGCUGUAAGGAGUCGGUGAAUUGAGCACAGCACCUAGCUCAAGCAAGUUCUCAAUAAACGUGAGCUACUGUUAUUAUCCCGGUUUUGUUUUCCUGUCUCUUGUAAGGAUGACCCUUUCUCUGGGGGGCAUUUUGAGGGAGUGGGCUCAAGAAAGGCACGACAGCACCGCGGCUUAUCCAAUUCUUACUGUCCCACAUUUGCCUUUUUUUCAAACUAUAAGAGAACGUUUAUUUAGAAAGCCACAGAGGUAGAAGAAAUGAGCAGAAGAAAUGGGCUUCAGGAAACAAGUUACAGACGCAAAAGACGGGGCCCUUUGAGCUUAGGAGAGAAAAAAAAGUCAGAGUGAGACCCCUGGGGGCAAGGGGAGGGGAUGGGAAAGGUGCAGGGGCGAGCUCAAGACUGUCCCACUUGAGCAGAUUUGAGGCUGAAUUCAAGUCAUGAAGUGGAAGUUUCCAUUCUCUGAAGGUAGCUGGCUUCCUGGGUCCAUCCUACACACCCAGAUUUCAUG